AUUGAACGCUGGCGGCAGGCCUAACACAUGCAAGUCGAGCGGAUGAAAGGGGCUUGCUCCUGGAUUCAGCGGCGGACGGGUGAGUAAUACGCAGGAAUCUACCUAGUAGUGGGGGAUAACGUUUCGAAAGGGACGCUAAUACCGCAUACGUUCUGAGGAAGAAAGCAGGGGAUCGUAAGACCUUGCGCUAUUAGAUGAGCUUGCGUCCGAUUAGCUAGUUGGCGGGGUAAAGGCCUACCAAGGCGACGAUCGGUAACUGGUCUGAGAGGAUGAUCAGUCACACUGGAACUGAGACACGGUCCAGACUCCUACGGGAGGCAGCAGUGGGGAAUAUUGGAUAAUGGGGGCAACCCUGAUCCAGCCAUGCCGCGUGUGUGAAGAAGGCC
rnacentral:rRNA from 1 species